rnacentral:lncRNA from 1 species
UUUUCUUCUCUUUGUCCCUGAUUUCAAAAUCCAGGGAGGAAACAAGUGAAAAGUUUGCUUUGCAGUCGAUGUGCCACAAUAUAUGAGUUUUCAUCAAAAACUUCAAAUAUUUUCAGGUAGAGUUAUCUCUAGACACUCAGAAGCAAUUAACAUUGUCUGCUUUAUAAAACGCAUUCUGCCCAUGCCUGUUUGUCAUGCAACUGUAUAAAUAUUAUUUUCAGGGUUUCUGCUAAAGCUGUGAUUGCUCAUCCCGGAGUCACUGGACUGACUCGGCAAGCACAGCUCUAUGUUGCAAGGCUGCCUACAACCCAGGAACUCAUUGCACAAAUAUGGCCAAGUACGCCUCUGCAGCAAAACGACGAUAUGAUUUUCACCAGAGCAGCCAUAGCAGUGGGACUGUGGCUGUGGGUCGUGGCCUAUGGACUCACACAGGAUGGAGCCGUGCAGGCUGCAGGUUGAACAUCAGAAGAACAGAAUUGUGACAGCAACAAGAGGGGGACUUGCCAUCUUCAAAUGAUGCUUUACAGCCCUAACAGCCAAGAUGAGAAACUGAGGCGCAGAUUUUCCCUGAUACCUAACUCUUCCAGAUUGCAUGGCUUGGAAAUAACAUUGAGCAUCAGUUCAAGAUCACAGCCAUUUGGAGGACAAAGCAGGGAUUUCCCAGGCCGUGAUUCAGCACAGCUUCGUUCCAGCAUGAUGGAAUUCAUGGGUGAGGCUGAGAUGGUAGUGCCCUGGUGGAUCUUUCCAUCAAAUCCACUGGACUUCAGGGAUCCAGCAGUGAUUUUUGACAGAAAACGAGGGCUGGCAAAUGAAAUGGCUGUGUGGGGUAAGAAGAAGAUAGCACACUUGCUCAGAGGACGGCUUUUCACUUGGCGCUGUCGUGCCCAGGACUGGGCUCCAAAAGCAAGCACGUGAAACAACAACCAGCUGGUAGAGCUACUUACACCAGGAAAAGAAAUGCUGAGAAGGAGAGCUGAGGAGAGCAGUGACCACCAGGAAAGCGAGUAUGGGGUAUGAAACAAGAAGAUUUGGCCUUACAUUGGGUGAGUUCCUUGCUGAGUUUGCUUCUAUCUGUCAGCUUUGUUUGGUGCCAUGCUUCACAAUUCAAACUGAUAGCAAGUAUCUGAGUCAAAUAAGUGAAUAUUUUUGCUAAAUGUUGUCUGUCACAUCCUGUUACUGCAGUUUGCCUUCUCCACCAUAUGUACUAACAUGAUGUAGUGGAACGCAACAUGAAGCAACCUGAGUGAUUUAAUGCGACAUGACAGUAAAAUAUUGCUGCAGCUUUCAGAAUAAACACCUGCUUUUAGCAGUUAUUUUGUCUGCU